GCCACUGGUGCUCUGCAGACUGGGUGGAAGGCAGUCACCCUAAGUGGAGGUCUCUGCAGUUGGCAGAAAACGAAGACUCUGACGCUGAGACGUGGAAACGACAUAACUCUACUCUCUCAACCCAGAGCUCAUUCUAGUUUCUUUGAACUGAGGCAUUUUGUGGAGGAGAACGUCCUCACUUUUCAGGUGUGCACACAGAGGGGUCUUCAGCCAUCCUCGCCAUCCUCCCCAGCGGCAGCAUCCUCCCCAUCAGGAGCAGCAUCCUCCCCAUCAGGAGCAGCAUCACCAUCGGCAGCAUCCUCCCCAGCGGCAGCAGCAGCAUCCUCCCCAUCAGCAGCAGCAUCCUCCCCAUCAGCAGCAGCAUCCUCCCCAUCAGCAGCAGCAUCCUCCCCAGCAGCAGCAGCAUCCUCCCCAUCAGCAGCAGCAUCCUCCCCAGCAGCAGCAGCAUCCUCCCCAGCAGCAGCAGCAUCCUCCCCAUCAGGAGCAGCAUCCUCCCCAUCAGCAGCAGCAUCCUCCCCAUCAGCAGCAGCAUCCUCCCCAUCAGGAGCAGCAUCCUCCCCAGCGGCAGCAUCCUCCCCAUCAGCAGCAGCAUCCUCCCCAGCAGCAGCAUCCUCCCCAGCAGCAGCAGCAUCCUCCCCAUCAGGAGCAGCAUCCUCCCCAGCAGCAGCAUCACCAGCAGCAGCAAGAAGAUGCCUGCACUGCUGCUGUGCUGUCUGCACUGCUUCCCUAGAAGCCCCAUCACGAAGCCCAAGAAUGUUCUCCUCCUCAUCGUUCUGUGUGUGAAGCAGUAAAUACAGGUGCCUUCCGGGGGAAAAUGAGAGCUGCAGCAUUUUUCUCAAGCUUCCUCCUCGUCCUGCUUGUGGCUGGAGGCUUGUGGAUGCUUCAAAGGAACAGUGACUUGACAGAAUUCCUUUCUCCCGCUCCCCACGUGUGACUUCCCAGGCCUCCAGAGCAGCGCCCGCCGCUGCCUGGUCCCUCAGUACCCCAGUCCCAGAGGGAGGAGCACCCGCUCAAACGGGAGCAUUAAGCAGGUGUGUCGCUGAUGUUUUAACUCCUAAGACUUUGGGUUUGGGACUUGGAUCAACUCACAGAAUAUUGGAAGGUGACACGACUACGAGCUAACACCUGACCUCCCAGCAUCACGGGGAGCUGGCCGUCCGGACACGUCAAAGGUGUUUUGUCCUCAGUGAGGAGAUUUGGGUGAAGGUCAAGGCCAUGUUUUCUAUAAACUACCAUCCUACCAGCUACCUGCCUUCCUGCUGCCUCGCUGGAAAUGUUACCUGGCACACGCAGGAGUCGCCGGUGUUCUGAGCGGCGAAUGUACCCUUUCCCCCGUAGCCGUGGUGCAUGUAGGCGUGUUCGCGUGCCCGUGGGGCUUUGUCACUGUUCACGCAGUUUCAACCUGUGUGUGUCCGUGCACUCAUCUCCCUCCUACUCAGCGGGGUCUCCCUCCCAGAGGAAGGCGGGCGCCCACGGGGGAGGGCUUGCAGGUCGGUGCAGAGCCUGUGCGUGACCCAAGCUGCCCCGCUGGGCUGCCGACCCUUCAUCUUGCUGCGCUGCCUCUGCCCUGGGAAUUUUUCAAACUCUUGGUCCGCUUUCCAACUCAAGGCCGCUAAGAUGGUUUCUCCCAUAUUUUAUUGACUUGAAAUUCAGAAGAUGUCCUGUGAACCAUUUGAAAGUGAAUGAGCUCGUGACUUUUAGUGCAUUCACAGUCUUGUGCAACCAUCGCCAUUCUCUGGCCCCCAGAGGAGCCCCCGGCCCCUGAGCAGUCCCUCCCUUGCCU
rnacentral:lncRNA from 1 species